GACGUAGGGCGCGAGCGUUGUCCGGAUUUAUUGGGCGUAAAGAGCUCGUAGGCGGCUUGUCGCGUCGUCCGUGAAAACCCACAGCUCAACUGUGGGCUUGCGGUCGAUACGGGCAGGCUAGAGUUCGGUAGGGGAGACUGGAAUUCCUGGUGUAGCGGUGAAAUGCGCAGAUAUCAGGAGGAACACCGGUGGCGAAGGCGGGUCUCUGGGCCGAUACUGACGCUGAGGAGCGAAAGCAUGGGGAGCGAACAGG
rnacentral:rRNA from 1 species